GUUUUGGCUUAUCCAACAAAUGCUUCUGAGAGGUGUAACACAUUUAUUUUUAUUCCCUGGCAAAAAGAAUGGAAGCCUGAGUUAUGAAAUGAGUUUAAUGGGCAAUGAAAUACACUCUCAGAUGGCCAGCUACAACAGGUCUUAAGAACAAACAUCUCUAUGUAUUGUGAAAGAUCUUGGUUGGGGAGCCCCGAAGACCUGUAGAAUUACACCUACAUAUCAGAUUGCCACAGCACAAGCAGAGACGAGGAAAAUCUAAACAUCCUUUCUGUAAAGGUAAGAACUUUUCAUAGAUAGAUAAUUAAGUUAACAAUCCAACCUUAUUUAACAGAAAUAAAUGCCAUUAUGUAAGUCA
rnacentral:lncRNA from 1 species